rnacentral:rRNA from 1 species
GACGAACCGUCCAAACGUUAUUCGGAAUCACUGGGCUUACAGAGUUCGUAGGCGGUCUGGAAAGUUGGGUGUGAAAUCCCUCGGCCUAACCGAGGAACUGCGCUUGAAACUACCAGACUCGAGGGAGAUAGAGGAAAGCGGAACUGAUGGUGGAGCGGUGAAAUGCGUUGAUAUCAUCAGGAACACCGGUGGCGAAGGCGGCUUUCUGGGUCUCACCUGACGCUGAGGAACGAAAGCCAGGGGAGCGAACGGG